UACGUAGGGCGCAAGCGUUGUCCGGAAUUACUGGGCGUAAAGGGCUCGUAGGUGGCCAACUAAGUCAGACGUGAAAUCCCUCAGCUUAACUGGGGAACUGCGUCUGAUACUGGAUGGCUUGAGUUUGGGAGAGGGAUGCGGAAUUCCAGGUGUAGCGGUGAAAUGCGUAGAUAUCUGGAGGAACACCGGUGGCGAAGGCGGCAUCCUGGACCAACACUGACACUGAGGAGCGAAAGCCAGGGGAGCAAACGGG
rnacentral:rRNA from 1 species